AGGAGUGAGUUGGGAUUAUGUGGACUAAGGAUUUUAGGGUGGUGUUUGAUUGAGAUAAGGCCACGUUGACCUGGUUAUUUCCACAUUAUUUUUUCUGUCCUUUUGGUUUUACUAUUGUUAUUAUUCUAUUUUUAAAUUGAUAUGCAACUAAGCAUCUGUCUUUGUCUUAAUUCAGGCCUGCUUUCCCACACAAAAAGAACACUUAGUUGGUUUGAAAGUUAAAACUGUUACUGUGGAAAGUAGUGCUGUUUAUAAGCGUUUUUAGAUAGUAAAAGAGUUUUUAAGUUGUUUUGCUAAGUAGUUAUGGUCGAAAUGGUAUUUGGGUAAAUUAUAUGGCAAGUUUCGUAUCAAAAUCUGGUUUGUGGUUCAAAGUGAUCAUUUGGUCUAACAGUCGAUGUUCUAAAAAAUUUCGCCUAACACUGUCUAAGCUCCGCUUAAGUGCUAAAUGAUUUGUCAUCACCUCGAUUAAUUCAUGGUGUUUCAAACUGUAGUAAAAAUGCGAAGUUAAAUGCAUAAAACAAACGAGCAAGAUUUAAAUCUUGUCUUGUAUUGUAUUGUAUUGUCGCUAUGAAUUUGGAAUCAAUUAAACUUGGUCGGCAUCAAGUGUGUCUUUUUCUCAUCAGGCAUAAAUGAUGGCCUAAUAAAUUGUCUGUUUGUGAAUUUGUGAUCCUCCUUAUUUUCAGAAAACAAUUAUCUAAUGAAAAAAAGUAUCACUCCAAUGAAAUAGGUGAAUACGCAAAAUUUUAUUUUAUAUUUUUUUUCACCUUUGAUAUUUAAUUUUAUCUUUUAUUUUUUACUUUUUUCCCUUACCAUAUAGAAUACAGGUUCGUUUCGACGUGUUUUUAAAAUGACUGAAAACUAUUUUGAUGAAAAUAUUUUUGAGACCAAUCCUUAGUAAGAUCCUAAAAAAAAACUUGAAAUAUUUUCUGCAAGAAGCACAUAUUUGGUGGUUCUUCCAAAAAAACACUUAAAGUGUUUUUGGAACCCAAAAUCAAUUUCACCAUAAACGUUUUUAGUCAUUUUAAAAGCACUUCCAAACAAACUCAUUUUAUUAUAAAUAGAUGUGUGAGGUCGAGUUUUGCCUACACAUAUAGAAGUAGUCAAUUGUCUAUGUAGCUCGUGAAAACGAAUUUGACUAUUCGUUUCCAAACAAACUCAUUUUAUUAUAAAUAGACGUGUGAGGUCGAGUUUUGCCUACACAUAUAGAAGUAGUCAAUUGUCUAUGUUAGGUCAAGAAAACGAAUUUGACUAUUCGUUUGCCUACUUCAAACUGUCAUCUUUUAGUCGUUUGUCUAAUCGCACUUUACAAUGACUUUUUUUCAAGUACAAAUAAUACUCUUACAAUGAGGCCUCGUUUGGUACGCUAUUUUAGGCAUCGGAUAGGACUAAUAAUAUGGAGCCGGAUGGUUGACGUCCAUAUAUAUUAAAGGGUAAAAGACUGUUUACUACCCUUAUGUUUCGUG
rnacentral:lncRNA from 1 species